GAUGAAGAACGUAGCGAAACGCGAUAUGUAAUGUGAAUUGCAGAAUUCAGUGAAUCAUCGAAUCUUUGAACGCACAUGGCGCCUUCCAGUAUCCUGGGAGGCAUGCCUGUCCGAGCGUCGUUUCAACCCUCGAGCCCCCGUGGCCCGGCGUUGGGGAUCUGCCCAGGCAGUCCCCGAAAACCAGUGGCGGACCCGUUACAGGCCCUUCCCUUGCGUAGUAGCAUUCGCCUCGCAUCGGGAGCCGGCGGGCUUCCAGCCUCUAAACCCCCAUCAAGUCCGCCCCGGCGGCACCAAGGUUGACCUCGGAUCAGGUAGGAAUACCCGGAACUUAAGCAUAUCAAUAAGCGGAGGA
rnacentral:misc_RNA from 1 species